rnacentral:antisense_RNA from 1 species
CUUCAACGAGCCGAGCAGCAGGGGCUGUUCGGCGGGACGCUGGCGGCCGUAGGUGGCCAGGAUGGCCUGGGCCUC